rnacentral:rRNA from 1 species
CACGUAGGGCGCGAGCGUUGUCCGGAAUUAUUGGGCGUAAAGAGCUCGUAGGCGGUCUGUCGCGUCGGAUGUGAAAACCCCAGGGCUCAACCCUGGGCCUGCAUUCGAUACGGGCAGACUAGAGUACGGCAGGGGAGACUGGAAUUCCUGGUGUAGCGGUGGAAUGCGCAGAUAUCAGGAGGAACACCGAUGGCGAAGGCAGGUCUCUGGGCCACUACUGACGCUGAGAAGCGAAAGCAUGGGGAGCGAACAGG